rfam:Edhazardia aedis TSNM 41457 supercont1.78, whole genome shotgun sequence.
GGCUCUUUAGUUUAAUGGCAGAAUGUUUGUUUCGUAAUCAAACGGUGACGGUUCGAUUCCGUCAGGAGCCU